AUAAUUUCCACUCAUAGUAAAGGAGCCUUGUCCUCAAGUCCCCUACUUCUCGACUUAGCAAACUUUCUGUUAAGUAUUCCUUUAUCACAUGAUUGUCAGGUCCCUGCUGGUGUGGAUACCUCCUGCUGCUGUGAAGGGAAACUUGCUGCCUAUGUGAACUGAACCAUCCUGCUAAAUUUAAGGGUAACCUCCUGCUGGUGUGAACUGAAGUAUGCUGCUUGUGUGAAGCUGGACAUCCUGCUAGAAUCAGGGAUAAUCUCCUGGUGCUGAGAGAAUCCCAAGAGUGCUGAGAGGUGUUUUCCUUCUGUGUGCCUCGUCUUCAGUUGCAGUGAAGAGAAUCUUCGGAAGUACAGAUAUGUAGUGAAGUGACCAUGCUGGCGAGAACACACUUGAUGGUGUAAAGGGAAACCCCAUGCUUGUGUCAAGUGAAACCUCAUGCUGUGAUGAGAGAUC
rnacentral:lncRNA from 1 species